UACGGGGGGGGCAAGCGUUGUUCGGAAUUACUGGGCGUAAAGGGCUCGUAGGUGGCCAACUAAGUCAGACGUGAAAUCCCUCGGCUUAACCGGGGAACUGCGUCUGAUACUGGAUGGCUUGAGUUUGGGAGAGGGAUGCGGAAUUCCAGGUGUAGCGGUGAAAUGCGCAGAUAUCAGGAAGAACACCGGUGGCGAAGGCGGGUCUCUGGGCCGAUACUGACGCUGAGGAGCGAAAGCGUGGGGAGCGAACAGG
rnacentral:rRNA from 1 species